rnacentral:tRNA from 1 species
GCUGGCGUAGCUCAGCCGGUAGAGCACCUCCUUGGUAAGGAGGAGGUCGUGGGUUCAAGUCCCAUCGCCAGCU